GUGAACAUGUAAAUUACGUCAUUGUAAGAGCAGAGUUGUCACAACAUUUACUGAUUGUGUGAGUGUGAGACGAUUUUAUUCACUUUGGAUCAGUUCAUCUCCAUUUUUUCGAAACAAAUCUUGCUAUUACAAUUAGUGAGUGGUAGAAACUACAAAUUCGCUUGAAUCUGAGUUAGAAAGUGUAUAUAUCAUCAAGUUCACAAGUUGAUUUGUAUGGACACGUCAUGUCGUUAUAGCUCCCUACAAGAAUAUAACAUUAAGCAAUUCGAAUACGUUUUCAUACAGAAUUGAGUCUGGGCUUGGCGUGGUUUCUGGAUAGCACAGCUUUUAUAUUUGUAACUAAUCUGAGUUAAAAAGUGCAGGAUACACCAUCAAGUUGGCGAGUACUUCAUAAACAGCAGAUGUAAAGUAUAAUUUUUCAAAGCAGGUAUGGACACGUGAUGUCAUUCUCUACAAGAAUAUAACAUUAAGAAAUUCGAAUAUCUUUUCAUACAG